rnacentral:rRNA from 1 species
AGAGUUGAUCCUGGCUCAGGAUGAACGCUAGCGGCAGGCUUAACACAUGCAAGUCGAGGGGUAUAGUUCUUCGGAACUAGAGACCGGCGCACGGGUGCGUAACGCGUAUGCAAUCUACCUUUUACAGAGGGAUAGCCCAGAGAAAUUUGGAUUAAUACCUCAUAGUAUAAUGAGUUGGCAUCAACACAUUAUUAAAGUCACAACGGUAAAAGAUGAGCAUGCGUCCCAUCAGCUUGUUGGUAAGGUAACGGCUUACCAAGGCAACGAUGGGUAGGGGUCCUGAGAGGGAGAUCCCCCACACUGGUACUGAGACACGGACCAGACUCCUACGGGAGGCAGCAGUGAGGAAUAUUGGACAAUGGGCGCAAGCCUGAUCCAGCCAUGCCGCGUGCAGGAUGACGGUCCUAUGGAUUGUAAACUGCUUUUGUACAGGAAGAAACACUACUUCGUGAAGUAGCUUGACGGUACUGUAAGAAUAAGGAUCGGCUAACUCCGUGCCAGCAGCCGCGGUAAUACGGAGGAUCCAAGCGUUAUCCGGAAUCAUUGGGUUUAAAGGGUCCGUAGGCGGUUUAGUAAGUCAGUGGUGAAAGCCCAUCGCUCAACGGUGGAACGGCCAUUGAUACUGCUAAACUUGAAUUAUUAGGAAGUAACUAGAAUAUGUAGUGUAGCGGUGAAAUGCUUAGAGAUUACAUGGAAUACCAAUUGCGAAGGCAGGUUACUACUAAUGGAUUGACGCUGAUGGACGAAAGCGUGGGUAGCGAACAGGAUUAGAUACCCUGGUAGUCCACGCCGUAAACGAUGGAUACUAGCUGUUGGAAGCAAUUUCAGUGGCUAAGCGAAAGUGAUAAGUAUCCCACCUGGGGAGUACGUUCGCAAGAUGAACUCAAGGAUUGACGG